GACGAACGCUGGCGGCGUGCCUAAUACAUGCAAGUAGAACGCUGAAGACUUUAGCUUGCUAAAGUUGGAAGAGUUGCGAACGGGUGAGUAACGCGUAGGUAACCUGCCUACUAGCGGGGGAUAACUAUUGGAAACGAUAGCUAAUACCGCAUAACAGCAUUUAACCCAUGUUAGAUGCUUGAAAGGAGCAAUUGCUUCACUAGUAGAUGGACCUGCGUUGUAUUAGCUAGUUGGUGAGGUAACGGCUCACCAAGGCGACGAUACAUAGCCGACCUGAGAGGGUGAUCGGCCACACUGGGACUGAGACACGGCCCAGACUCCUACGGGAGGCAGCAGUAGGGAAUCUUCGGCAAUGGGGGCAACCCUGACCGAGCAACGCCGCGUGAGUGAAGAAGGUUUUCGGAUCGUAAAGCUCUGUUGUAAGAGAAGAACGUGUGUGAGAGUGGAAAGUUCACACAGUGACGGUAACUUACCAGAAAGGGACGGCUAACUACGUGCCAGCAGCCGCGGUAAUACGUAGGUCCCGAGCGUUGUCCGGAUUUAUUGGGCGUAAAGCGAGCGCAGGCGGUUUAAUAAGUCUGAAGUUAAAGGCAGUGGCUUAACCAUUGUUCGCUUUGGAAACUGUUAGACUUGAGUGCAGAAGGGGAGAGUGGAAUUCCAUGUGUAGCGGUGAAAUGCGUAGAUAUAUGGAGGAACACCGGUGGCGAAAGCGGCUCUCUGGUCUGUAACUGACGCUGAGGCUCGAAAGCGUGGGGAGCAAACAGGAUUAGAUACCCUGGUAGUCCACGCCGUAAACGAUGAGUGCUAGGUGUUAGGCCCUUUCCGGGGCUUAGUGCCGCAGCUAACGCAUUAAGCACUCCGCCUGGG
rnacentral:rRNA from 1 species